GAUGAACGCUGGCGGCGUGCUUAACACAUGCAAGUCGAACGGGAUCCCAGGAGCUUGCUCCUGGGUGAGAGUGGCGAACGGGUGAGUAAUGCGUGACCGACCUGCCCCAUACACCGGAAUAGCUCCUGGAAACGGGUGGUAAUGCCGGAUGCUCCAGUUGGAUGCAUGUCCUUCUGGGAAAGAUUCUAUCGGUAUGGGAUGGGGUCGCGUCCUAUCAGCUUGAUGGCGGGGUAACGGCCCACCAUGGCCUCGACGGGUAGCCGGCCUGAGAGGGCGACCGGCCACAUUGGGACUGAGAUACGGCCCAGACUCCUACGGGAGGCAGCAGUGGGGAAUAUUGCACAAUGGGCGCAAGCCUGAUGCAGCGACGCCGCGUGCGGGAUGACGGCCUUCGGGUUGUAAACCGCUUUUGACUGGGAGCAAGCCCUUCGGG
rnacentral:rRNA from 1 species